ACAGAAUCAGGGUAGUCGUUUCCCCUGUUUUCCAUCUUUAUAUUAAAUAAACUAAUCACCUUUUCACUUUAAAGAUGAGAGAGUGGUGCCAAUUUUCUCAUGUAACUCUCAGAAAAAAGUUAGUAUUCAUAUUAUGCAAAACGUAAACAUACUGUAUAUAUUUGCAAAUGUUUGAUUUGUGUUUGGAUCGCAGAAGAGGAAGCAAUAAAAAGCUAAGCCAGAGUUGUUACUUAUCAGAUAUCUAAGUUGCUAAAGUCUUUAUUUCUGUCAUCAAUCUCUGGGUUAAGCCUUUGUCUUAAGCGACCACUUUAGACUUCAACCGUCUCAUUAAACACUGAAUUCAAGUCAGCUGACAAAAUUAGCCUCAUAUCCUCUCUGUGUGAAAGCAGAGCAGCUUCGCCUAACGCCUGGCUUUCAUUAUGACACAUCUCUGUUAAAUGCACCACAACAGACAAAAGAACACAGACUGCUGGCACGGACCACAUGUUUACCUAACAUCACCUAAUGGUGCACGCUUUGCAUCCACGUAAGGCCUUGCAGUUAACAUUAACUACUGCUAUUUCAUCGGCCCAGAAAAUGGAGGACAGAUGCAGACAUGAGAGCGUGAAUGAUGUGUGGUUUGAAACUUUUCUUUCCUUCCACUGUAUUGUUUCAGCGGAGGAUGGCCGAGCUUUUAGGGCGUGAGAAAAGGAGCCCAUUUGUGACUAACAGAUGGGGAAAAGUUAGAGAAUUAAAAGGAGAAGGAAAGAGACAGACUGAGAAAGUGAGUAAUACACAGGAAAUUUGCACUGCUUAAAAAUAUUUCAAAACAAAAUCCUUGAAUGAAUGACACAAAAACUUGCUUUCAAUGUAUUUUUCAUUUCUUGUCUAUUGAACUGAUUUGUUACCGAUCAUCUCAUUUUUAAAUAUGUCUGUCUUUCUUACUCUCUGUCAUUUUAGUCACUUCUAAAUAACAUAGAGCAUAAAUUACAUCUUACCAAUGUUAGCUUGUUUGUUAAUGCACAUCUAUUAAAGAUGCACACACACUGAUUUACUUGUCUUUCUUUCACAUGUAUCAAAAUGGAUAUUAAUUCUGCUAAAAUUAUUUACUGGACUGACAAUACUGCUCCCAUAAUUCCUUCAAAGAGGUUUUGAGCCAAAACUGGCUCUUUGUCAUGUAUAAAUGACUCAAACUGAGUAUUUUAACCGAACUGUGCGACUUAUCCAGUUGCAGUACACAUUUAAGUCUGAGUCUAAUUUAUUUUGCAGUGGAAGCUCCAUACAGAUGAGUAUUGUACAAAGACCAAAGGAACUGAAGAAGGUGAUUGAAACAGAAAAAGGUUGCAUUUCAAAUGAGAUUUAGUCCCAGAGUGGAGUUCUAGUUUGUAUAACAAAAACGUAAAAGCAUAAAAAAAUUCACAGAUAAAGUACCAAUGGAAGUUAACACGAAGGAAGCAAAAGCAAAGAAACGAUGCUGAAUCUUAGAUGACAUAGAAUACAGUAGGUUAUAGGGAACACAAACUUGAGAACUAUUGCAAUGAACUGCAGCUGAAUGGAAAUGGGCUGAAAUAUGGGGAAAACAGGAGAAGAGCCAAACAAAGAGACAGAGAUGGAAAAGUCAAGAGGGAGAGAAAUUGAGCUUGAGAGAAAGAAAGCGAUAGAAGAGAGAGAGAGUGAGCACAUUGUGUUGUGGAGGAGUCGGGUCGUCCCGGUCAGAGCAGAGAGGGAAGUGCUGCUCAGAUCAGCUCGCUGGCUGUCAGCUCUCUGACAGGGAUUAGAGGGCUGCCUGUAAAUAAUAGGGGUUCAGACCUGGGGCACCUUACUCUUUGACAAAGUGCUCAUUUCUCAUCCAUCACUCUUUCCUUCUCUCUGUUGCCUUCAGGGCCAAAUUCUCACCGCUCAUUCUGACUGAUGUUUUCAUCAGCAGACCAGUAGCAAUGUGUUAGUAUUAGAGGCGCAGCACAAAAAGACAUUUUCCAUACGGCUGAAUAGCAGCAUAAGUGGAAUUCUUUCGGUCCUCAUCUGCAUCAUCUCAAAGAGAAACAUUGAAAUAUAGAGGAAAAUGGAAGGAAAGCAAAGUAGCAAGCUGUUAGAUAAAUGACAUCAUUGAUUUAGGUGGAACAUCUGGAGUCCAGACACAGUCGGUCCCUGCCUGAAAAUAGUUACAGUAGGUAGGCAACCUGAGGACUGUAUUUAUUUACCACUGGUCAUUUCUACAUUUGCUCUUUUUCUUGAAACCUACUGUUUGAGGGAGCAGCAGUUUGACUGCUCAAAAAUGAAUUAAGAGCAGAUGAGACAGGAUCCGUGUGUGCAGCUCUUUGGGGCUUGAUUGGAAAGUAUCCCAAAUGAAGAGCAAUGAAACUCAUUAAAGCAACAAAUAGAUAUUGAAAUGCAAACUAUAAAUACAAUAUAGUAAACUGCCUCAGCUUGACACUCUGACAAUUCCUCUUUUGGUACUGCACAUCAAAGAAAAUCCACAGGACCACUCAGUUAAGUCAAACUGUUUACUUAAACUCACACAUAGCAACAACAAGAACAAAAAAAUUCUGUACAGAAACUAUUGUCAUUUUCCAAACUUUCCAAAAUAAGAGAAAAACACAAGUCAGAAAAAAACUGUGUGGUUCUACUCUCUGUUUGCUAAUUGGCCACACCUUUUAUCCACCUGGAUCAAAAUGCAAUUAAACUUUGCCUUAAAGAUUCUCACAUAUUGCGAAAUUAUGUAAUAUAUGUAUUUUCUAAACAUUUCAAGUCAUCCACAAGCCUUAAAUGCAAGACAUAAGUAUUAAAUUACUGUAUCACCAUAAUAAUUAACUAUAUAGACUGUGUAAAAUAAUUCAGAUUACUAUUGUUUUACUAUGAACUUAAAUUAUUGUAUUCUAAUUGUUAAACACUAACUUGAAUGCAUUUACGGUCCAUGUACGGAUCUGGUAAUUGGAUUUUCCGUUCUGAAACGGGUAUUGAAAAACAAAAAACGAGUGGUUAUUUUAUUUUCGUUUUAAAAUACAAAAAUUAAAAUUGAAAUACAAGGCGUUUGUCCUUUUCAUGAUCAAAAAGGGAUAUACGAUUUUUUAAAAAAUGCUUUGAUUUUCGUUUUAUAUUUAGAAUAACAAGAAACUAUAAUCAGUAAGAGACAGAAACGAAAAAAGGUCCGUUUUUUCAUUUUCUGAGACCGGAAGUGGUCAUCAGCAAGUGUGGAGCCAAACAGAGUACGGUGCAUAGACUGUACAUACAUUUUUUUUUGUGUGAGUUUUCGUGGUCAAAAUGAGAGAUCAGGUGGCCGAUCUUAAAAUAAAUCAAUACUGAUUUUUUUUAUAGAGCGUUAAAGUUUUGGGAAGCCAGGGGGCGGGACUACUUGAUUGACAGUCUGGUCUGGAAUGAUUGACAGGUCCUAUGGAGGAGGAAGCAGAGACUCUCUUCUCCUCGUUUGGAUUAAUUCUGAUAUAAUAACUGUUGGUUUAUUUAUCGGUGGAGCAGCAGAACAUUUUCCACAGACAGUUUUCCUGCCCGUUGGCUUGUUUUAACCAGUUUUCUUCCUUCGGCUGAUUCUACCAGCAGACACUGAAAGGACUCUGAUAGUUCGAGUGAAAGUAGCAGUUCCUCCUUAAGGUCAGAGAUUGCAGCAUCUGAGGGCCUCUUCAAAAGAAGACGUAGUUGAUGAAGGCGUUCUGGAGCAGGACCAGAAAGACCACGACCAAGCAGCCUCUAGAUCUUAGGCAGCGUCUCCCUCAGACAUCCACCAACCACUGGAACACAUCUCCAAAGUUCUGCCGGUCCAGCUCAGCUUCCCCUCAGAAGAAGUUCCACCACCUGCCAGAUGAAGGAGCCUUUUGAGAGUCAGCUGGCAUCAUGAUUGGACUGUACUUUGGUCUGUUCCAAUCCAGCUUCAGCUCCAGAGACGGCAGGCGGGACGAGUCAACGGAGGCCGGGUGGACGAAGGCAUGCAGCUGAGUACAAUCCAGAAAACAACAGAGGAGGAGUGCAGGGCCAGAACAGAGUAGCAUGACCAAAGAACUACAGACUCUUCACAACCUGCUCAAACUCUUGGUACAGGACCUCACCACACGGGUCAAGAAGGUUUCCUUCUCAUUUCUACUCUGAAGCUCACCUUCUCCUGCUCAAACUGCUGACAAAUGUUUCUGCUGCUCUAAAGUCUGGUCUCCAGAACUUCCUAAAAACUCUCAAAGUCUCUUCUGCUGCAGGUUGCUUUGUAGAACUGUUCCAGAAAACCUCACUAAACCACAUGGAGGGGCCUCAAGAUAGUCGUCCAAAUGAAACCAUACAAAAACCAAACUAGCACAACCCAAACACUAAAGUCUCCUGCAGCCUACCAGAGAACCUCUGAGAACAGAGAAUCAGGACAGGAACUCUUACCUUCUGGACAACCAACCUUGGUUCACAAACAAGAAUACAGAAUGUGUCUGACCAAAAACCUCUAAAGACUCACUACAGCCAAGAUAAAGACACAACUCAGCUGCACCAAAUCCACUAAUCACUGCACACAUUAGCACCAUGUGCUAACUGUAGCUAAAGAAUCACAUUUACCAAGACAACUAUCCAGUACAAAGCCCUAAAACACACCAAGAAACACAUUAAAGUCUAUUUUACUGCUGGAAGCUGCAAGCCAACACCUAAAGAACAAAAUAAGCAACAGAGCCAAACCCUUCAGUGGUGAAGAGAAGCAGAGGAAAUGUUUGUCUGCAGCUAAAUAAAGCAGGAAGACACUGAGCUGCUCAGGUGUUCCUGAUAACACCAAGCUGCUCAGGUGUUCCUGGUAACACCAAGCUGCCACCUGGACAGCCAAUAGGAACACAGCUUACUGGAAGUCCAGAGGGCUGGGUUAAUGAAGGAAAUUUAGUUUAAAGUUGAAGCAGAAAGUUAACAAAGAAAGUUGAAAACCACCUUCUGAUACCUGAAAUCUCUGAGUUUUCACACAAAGAACACCUGAACAUGUCAAACUGGUUCCAUAGUAGAACCAUCAUUGUAAAAAUGUCAUAGUAUGGUGUGUUGUUCAAAAAACAUUAGGACCCAGCUGUCAGGGGACAAACAUGUAAGAAACAUGAGAACAGAGAGAACCCAACCAGUAGGUCACAGUUUAUCAUCCCCCAGUCAUCUCCUGAAGUCCAUAUGGUGAGAGACAUCAGUAUCUGGUUGUUCAUUUACCAGAGGAUGCUUAUAAUCAUGCUGAUGUGGUCUGUACUCUACAGUAUUUUAGUGACUCAAUAAAUGCCUAAGUUGUUUUUUUUUAAAUGCUUUUUAGUUUUUAAUAAACAUUUAAGAGCCUAUAUGUAAUCAAUAAAUGGCCUUUGCCUAUCUUAAGAAAAAUUCACUCAGAACUCUGAUAUGUUAACAGUACUAAAUAAAUCAAUAAAUACAUGCAUACACACAUAAAUAAGUUAAUACAUUAACUGUGUUAAGAUAAGAUUUAGAUUUUAUAAAAGUUGUUUAUGUUUUUGCAGAAUCCAGUAUUGCACACUGGUUGGUCAUUACAUUUUGCUAGUUUGAUUUCACUGUUUAAAAUGAUGCCACCUCUUUUCAGACAGAACCUGUGAUAAUAAAACAAUACAAAAUUUUUAGUUCCGUGUUAAUAAAGCACUUAAAGCUUUAAGUAUGGCUAAAUGCUUUUUUCAGAAUUAAAUAUAUCACUCCUUAGGUGGUAGUGGCCCCAAGUUCAGUAAAGCUGGAAAGAUAUUCACAGAUUCACACUUCCAGCAUCAAUAACUCGUUAGAUAUAGGUUGUCAAAACAUAAACGGUGCCUCUUUCCCAUUGUUGCAAGGCAGACAAUGUGCUACAAGCCCAGUUUUAUCAAAAGUAGCUGUCUUUCAAGCUACAGGAAUAACAUUGGUGUCUAUGGAGUGAACAGGGUCCGUCUGCAAUUUACAAAACUGCUGCAACAGUAAAGAGAGACAAAUAUUCAAUAACUUCACUCUGAUACAUUGUAGUGUCACUAAAAUCACUGCAGCCUUCAACUGGCUCCUGUUGACAAAGUGUUUUAACAGAAAUGUAAAUGCUGUAAUUUGAUUCUUUUAAUGAACCAUGUAACUUGAAUGGAUGUGAUGCUGGUGUGACCACAGUGCACACAUCUGAUGUUGCUCACAGUGGUCCAAGGGACGCUCAGGGAGUUUGUGUUUGCUCAGACUCAUGAAAAAUUAGAGGGAACAUUGAUUAGCACCAUGUGCUAACUGUGGCUAAAGAACCACAUUUACCAAGACAACUAUCCAGUACAAAGCCCUAAAACACACCAAGAAACACAUUAAAGUCUAUUUUACUGCUGGAAGCUGCAAGCCAACGCCUGAAGAACCAACUAAAGCAAUGGAGCCAAACCCAGUUCAGUGGUGAAGAGAAGCAGAGGAAAUGUUUGUCUGCAGCUAAAUAAAGCAGGAAGACACUGAGCUCCUCAGGUGUUCCUGAUAACACCAAGCAGCCACCUGGACAGCCAAUAGGAACACAGCUUACUGGAAGUCCAGAGGGCUGGGUUAAUGAAGGAAAUUUAGUUUAAAGUUGAGGCAGAAAGUUAACAAAGAAAGUUGAAAACCACCUUCUGAUACCUGAAAUCUCUGAGUUUUCACACAAAGAACACCUGAACAUGUUAAACUA